rnacentral:tRNA from 1 species
GGUUCCAUGGUGUAAUGGUGAGCACUCUGGAAUCCGAAUCUCAGAGAUCCGAGUUCAAAUCUCGGUAAGACCU